GAUGUUGUUGUCAUUAUAUAUUAAAAAUCUGAAAUUGCAGAACCCGCGCGCUCGAACCCUAUCGUUCUUCUUCUUUCUCCUUCUGCUUGAGUUCGUCUUUGUCGCAAACUGGGUUGCGCUUCCGUGACUGCAACCACAUUGUGGAGUUCAUGUUUGUGGAGUUUGUCUCUGCCACUUAUUGAUUGAGGUACGUCCUUUCGUUUUAACAUUAGGCGUUCCUCGUUUUAACAUUUGCUCGCUUUCGCAGGUCGAAGAAAUCUAGGAAAGGAAAGAGUCCCAGAAAGGGUGGGAAUCGAUUUUGGAAGUGCAUUGUGGUUCACCUUAAGACUCCCAGGGCGUUCUUCUUCUUUCUCCUUCUGCCCUAAGUUCGUCUUUGUCGCAAACUGGGCUGCACUUCCGUGACUGCAACCACAUUGUGGAGUUGGUCUUUGUGGAGUUCAUGUCUGCCACUUAUCGAUUGAGGUCGAAGAAAACUACGAAAGGAAAGGGAGGGAAGCGAUUUUGGAAGUCCAUUGUGGUUGGCUUUAAGCCUCCCAGGGAAGCCAUUGAAGGCUUAUCAUUUACUACUGCUAAUUGGCAUUGCUGUGGAAGCUCUUUGAUUAUAGCAACUCUAGGUACGUUUGUACGGUCUACUAUCUUUAUAUGUAUUAUGAUAGACUACUGUUUUGACAUUUGUCAUAGCAUUUAUAUACACAUAUACUACUGUAUUUGUUUGGUAGAUAAAUUGUUGUAUUUGUUUGACUAACUUAUCUAAGAUCAAUUCAGUAUUUGUCAAUAGUACUCCUCCCCUAAAGCUAUCUUUGAAAUCCAGCUUGUGCUGUUGACACACACACAGGCACACACACACACACACACAGCCACAGAC